rnacentral:rRNA from 1 species
AAUGCAGUCGAACGGUCUUUUAGAGAUAGUGGCGGACGGGUGAGUAACGCGUGAGAAUCUAGCUUCAGGUCGGGGACAACCACUGGAAACGGUGGCUAAUACCGGAUAUGCCGAAAGGUGAAAGGCUUGCUGCCUGAAGAUGAGCUCGCGUCUGAUUAGCUAGUUGGUGUGGUAAAGGCGCACCAAGGCGACGAUCAGUAGCUGGUCUGAGAGGAUGAUCAGCCACACUGGGACUGAGACACGGCCCAGACUCCUACGGGAGGCAGCAGUGGGGAAUUUUCCGCAAUGGGCGAAAGCCUGACGGAGCAAUACCGCGUGAGGGAGGAAGGCUCUUGGGUUGUAAACCUCUUUUCUCAGGGAAGAAAAAAAUGACGGUACCUGAGGAAUAAGCAUCGGCUAACUCCGUGCCAGCAGCCGUGGUAAUACGGAGGAUGCAAGCGUUAUCCGGAAUGAUUGGGCGUAAAGGGUCCGCAGGUGGCUAUGUAAGUCUGCUGUUAAAGCACCUAGCUUAACUAGGUAAAAGCAGUGGAAACUACAAGGCUAGAGUGCGUUCGGGGUAGAGGGAAAUUCCUGGUGUAGCGGUGA